CCAGACUCCUACGGGAGGCAGCAGUAGGGAAUCUUCGGCAAUGGACGAAAGUCUGACCGAGCAACGCCGCGUGAGUGAAGAAGGUUUUCGGAUCGUAAAACUCUGUUGGUAGAGAAGAACGUUGGUGAGAGUGGAAAGCUCAUCAAGUGACGGUAACUACCCAGAAAGGGACGGCUAACUACGUGCCAGCAGCCGCGGUAAUACGUAGGUCCCGAGCGUUGUCCGGAUUUAUUGGGCGUAAAGCGAGCGCAGGUGGUUUAUUAAGUCUGGUGUAAAAGGCAGUGGCUCAACCAUUGUAUGCAUUGGAAACUGGUAGACUUGAGUGCAGGAGAGGAGAGUGGAAUUCCAUGUGUAGCGGUGAAAUGCGUAGAUAUAUGGAGGAACACCGGUGGCGAAAGCGGCUCUCUGGCCUGUAACUGACACUGAGGCUCGAAAGCGUGGGGAGCAAGCAGGAUUAGAUACCCUGGUAGUCCACGCCGUAAACGAUGAGUGCUAGAUGUAGGGAGCUAUAAGUUCUCUGUAUCGCAGCUAACGCAAUAAGCACUCCGCCUGGGGAGUACGACCGCAAGGUUGAAACUCAAAGGAAUUGACGGGGGCCCGCACAAGAGGG
rnacentral:rRNA from 1 species